UCCCCUGCGUUUAAUGCACAACCUAUUGUGCUGUGUUUUUAUAGAAAUAUUCGUUCCCUUCAACACACGCAUCAAGGAAUUAAUCCCAGCCCAAAUAAAUUACCCUUUCUAUCUAAAAUUCUUUUUCGAUUUGAAUUCCCCCAUUAGAAUUCCCGUUAGAAAAAAAGCAUCACUCCCAUUAACCGCCUCACUGUCUAGUCUCGAUUUCUCUGGCUGCGACGACGCCUCCGAUUCCGGCUGCUCAUCGUGGCUCCAGGCGCCGCCGACGUCGAAGCAAUCUCCUUUCCCAGCGGCGCGUUACUGAGUGGUAGUGUUGGGGGCGAAGUUGUAGUUUGUGAUAAUGCGUGCAAAUUAAGCAACAAAAAAUGGGUGUAGGUGAUUAGGUGUAGUGUUUAUUUAAAUUGACGAGGCGGGAUACACGUCACCGUAGACCUCCUCACGGACUCACCGUCUGAUUUCGGUGCCACCGAUUCUCUCCGAGCGGCUCUCCAGAAUCCACCAAGCAGUCGUUGCAGCGGUGGAGUGCUGUGGACUUCUCGGCCUAACUAAUUGUGUGAUGCUGGAACUGUAGUUUGUUGGGAACUCUGCAGAGAUAUUGUUAUUGGUUAUCGGAAGUCAAACUGUAUUAUCUAUCAUCGUAUCAAGCAGACGACACUGGUCUAAUUUUUAUAUUGCUUGAUGAUGUGAAGAUAUCAGAACAACUGAUUGACCUGGUCUUCUAUCUGCUAGUUCUACUUGGUCCAUACAGACAUGAAUCUCAAACCAUACCCAAUGGCAUGGUUCUUCUUCAUUCGGAUCUGGUAGCUUGUAUUAUAAAAUUGUUUCUCCACACUACCAAGAGGUUGCUCAAGCAUUGACUGCAUAUUACAAGGUGGACAUAUUCAUAGAGGCAGAAUUUGCUGCUGUUUGUGUAGAUGUCAAGUUUCUGCAGACCAACGAUUCAUUUGGAAGUGCUUUCCCUACUACUGAAGAGACCUUGAAUCACCUCUGCCAGAGUGUGAUUCUUCUCUUCAAUUUCUACAGUCCUUGUGUCAGCAAAAGUUGUUCCCGGAAUGCAUUGUGAAUAACAAGAUUUUAUCCUUUCAUCUGAUUAGAGUUUUCACUGCCUGAAAGCAUUGACAUUUCUUUAAAAUGUCAAAUGUGGUGAAUACAUGUUUCUGCUCCAGGGAACUUGAGCUGGAAUUUCUAUUUUGUAUACAUGUUUCUGCUCCAGGGACUUCAUUUAUUUCUGUCCAAGUGAGAUAGUAAGAGAUUCCAUAAUCAGCUUGAUUUGCUUAUGUGGCUGCAGCUUUAUCUGAUGCAUGUUGAUCUGUUGCACCUUUGUGAAGCUGAAAGUGUAUCCUACCUGGAAGAGGUGGCCAGCAAAACAUCAACUCAGGAUGUGGCAAAGUCUGUUGGACUCAAGGUUCUUGCGUUGCUAAAAAAAUGUUUAAUGCUCCCUCUGAGGCAAGCUACCCGAGGGGCAACUGGAACUUAAUGCAAUGCGCUUGGCAGAUGUCUUGUCAGAUGAUUCAAAUUUUCCGUCAUUCAUCAUGAUAAACUUUAUGAGAAGGAUCUGUCAACAAGCUCGUUCGGUUCUUAUGGAAGGACUAUCAGAAACUGUCAGAUGGAUUCUUCUCUCUACUUCAAAGCUGACAAAGUAUCCACAAUUAGCAAGAACUUAUGUUCACUAUUAAGUCAUGAUUUUUGAAUGAAGAUGAGGAGGUAAUUUCAAUGACUAGCUUCGUAUAUUGGACUCUCGGCCCAGAUGUAAAAAAGAGUAGCCCAAUGCUACAUAUUUUCUGGAAUAAGCUUCAUAAAAAAGGAGUUUUAAUGCAGAAAAGGAAGGUAGGAAGGUAGUUUUACAAGCAAGUAGUUUUCCCAUACGUAUUCGAGGAUUCUGGUAACUCUACAUCAAAUCCUAGUCUUUGAGGAUUCUGGUAAGUUUACUUCUCAUCUUAUUCGGGUGUUAUUCAAACUUGUAUAUACUCAACUUGUGAUGUUUUCUACUUAUACAUAAGAGCCUAGCUGCUAUUUAUUCUCAUCUGUGGCUGAAAUGUUAAUUUUAUAGAGAAUUUAAAUGUUAUUUUCUCUUUGUAACUGACAUGUUAUUAUUGAGAGUAAAUUUCCGAAAGGUUGCCUGUCAUGGUUCUUUAAUAUGUGCAUCUCCCUAUUUUUUAAUGAAUUCAGAUGCAUCACCAAUAGAUAAACAAGGGAUAUUAGCUUCAUAAAUAUCCGAAAGUGCCCUAGUACAAUACUGCUUUGUUAUGAGAACAAAAAGCUUCCACGAACAGACUUUCACCACUUGCUAUUUGUGUGUGCAUGCAAGAUUUUCUCUAUAUUGAUUGUAACUAACACACUUUUUUAUGGGUUAUUAGUGUAGACUUCGUUUCCCUCAAGGGUUGGUCUGCAAACUUGUUGUUGCUUACUAACUUCUGGAGAGCUAGGUUUCCCGUGCUUCAGAUAAAGUGACAAUAGUGUUCUUUGGUGUCCGAUUUCUUGAGCUAAGGAGAGAGAACUAUUCCGGUUUUGAAAAAUUAAUUGAAAAAGCCAUAUGGUCGAUCGACUGAAUGAGAGCUUUACGAGUUGCAAUCUUGUUGAUAUUGGUGCAUAAUAAUGAUUUGGGCAAUAGGACUAAAAGCCUCAUAUCCAAAUUAUCACAUGCCUAACCCUGCAUAUACCCCUAGUGAGCCAGUUUGAGCCCCCAAAGCCUAAUUUCUUUGUUAAAAAUAUUGAAGUCACUAUAUUAGCCUAUCUAUUAUAUCCAUUCAUUGGCCUGUAUUUUCUACCCCAGUCACUAAAAUUAAAGUGCUAGCACAUUCUUGGGAGGGUAUUUAUGGUGGCAAGAAAAAGAUGAAAGUCCUGGAACAUUCAUUUGGUGAUAUUCAUUUUUCCUGAGAUGUGUAAAAAAGCCAAGGCUCAAAAAAAAAAGUAAAAUGGCAGCCUUUCAUGUGUAAAAAAAGCCAAGGCUCGAAAAAAUAAAAAUAAGAAGGCAGCCUUUCAUGUUUAAAAAAAGCCAAGGCUC